UUUUGAGCUCGUCGGAUGUGGCUCCAGAUCUCAAGUAAGUUAUCAACUCUGGUACUUUCGGAUCGUCCUGACGCUUUUCCAAUGUCAGGCUGAGCGGCUUCACCGAGUGUGGAGCGCAGUUUCCUGGACCACCGCAAGGCUGCUUAGUUUUCGUUGCUCAAAAAAAGAGAAGAAUGAGCAGCAAAAAACUCACCAGCAGCGGCGUGAUCUCCGUCCAAGGUGAACUUUUGGUUCCGGACGACCCCCAGCUCGCUGAGAAAGAGCAACGCGACGAAUCGGUGCAGAGGCUACUGCCGCAUAAAGGGUUUCAG
rnacentral:lncRNA from 1 species